UGUGAGAGCGAGCUUGCUCGCGAUGGUGGCGGUACAUUCGGCAUUGAUGCAAGCUGAUCCGCCGCUAUCGCGAGCAAGCUCGCUCCCACA
rnacentral:misc_RNA from 1 species